rnacentral:tRNA from 1 species
UAUAUUUCAGUGUUAGUUGCACAGGGAUUUUUGAUUUCUCAGGUUAUGGAUGAUUUCCAUAGAAUAUAA